rnacentral:rRNA from 1 species
AGUGAACGCUGGCGGUAGGCCUAACACAUGCAAGUCGAACGGCAGCACAGUAAGAGCUUGCUCUUACGGGUGGCGAGUGGCGGACGGGUGAGGAAUACAUCGGAAUCUACUUUUUCGAGGGGGAGAACGUAGGGAAACUUACGCUAAUACCGCAUACGACCUACGGGUGAAAGCAGGGGAUCUUCGGACCUUGCGCGAUUCAAUGAGCCGAUGUCGGAUUAGCUAGUUGGCGGGGUAAAGGCCCACCAAGGCGACGAUCCGUAACUGGUCUGAGAGGAUGAUCAGCCACACUGGAACUGAGACACGGUCCAGACUCCUACGGGAGGCAGCAGUGGGGAAUAUUGGACAAUGGGCGCAAGCCUGAUCCAGCCAUACCGCGUGUGUGAAGAAGGCCUUCGGGUUGUAAAGCCCUUUUGUUGGGAAAGAAGAGCAGCAGGUUAAUACCCCGCUGUUCUGACGGUACCCAAAGAAUAAGCACCGGCUAACUUCGUG